UAUAUACUCCCUCCGUCCCAAAAUUCUUGUCUUAAAUUUAUCUAAAUAUGGAUGUAUCUAAUACUAAAACGUGACUUGAUACAUCUGUAUUUAAACAAAUUUAAGACAAGAAUUUUGAGACGGAGGAAGUACUUG
rnacentral:pre_miRNA from 1 species